GAGGCUGCCAAAGCCAAAUGAUGGAUGCUAUUUCCAUGGCACGAUAGACGACGUAUUUUUACACCCAUAGAGUAUGAGCACC
rfam:Prunus persica cultivar Lovell chromosome G2, whole genome shotgun sequence.